rnacentral:lncRNA from 1 species
UAGAAACCCCUCUAUAUCUUCAAAAUUCAGCCCAUUACAAAAUUCUGCAAACCUUACUCUCCAGUCUCCACAGACCACAAAACUCACGCUCACGCAUGGGCACGGCUCCAUAGACCACACUCCACGCCUCGUAGCCUCCGGAACGUACGUAGCCGGCCGACUUCUAAGGUAACUGAAUCUUUUUUCCUUGUUUCAUUAUGGUUUUUAGUUUCUGUUCUAGACUUCUUGGAUUGUUCAAAAUUUGAAUUUUAAAGUUGUUUUAUUUCCUAUUGCACUUCUACUUGAUUUCGGGUUUUAGUUCCUGUUCUAGGAUUAUUCAAAAAAAAUGUUGUUUUUGUGGAGCUAGGCAGUUUAAAAAAUUAAGGUAAAGCUUUCUGUUGUUGUAAUGAAUUUGUGCAGUUAAAAAAUGGUGAGAUUCCUCAAGAAUUGUCUCGUCAAUUUUUUAUUUCUUGACACAUUAAUUUGUUUUUUGCAGGUUUGAGUCAGAAUUUGUCAUCUUUGGAGGAUAGUCCUUGAAAGGAAUAGUUUGCUGUUUGCUUGAAUUUUGAGUUUAUUCCUUUAAGAUUUACAAUACAUGCUUUCAGUUUCUUUGGCAUCUUGUUUAGCUUUUUGAGUUUGCCAUUUUAUAUUUAGCCCUUGUUUAAUGCCUAUUACCUGAAAAUGAAAAUGGGGGGAAUAAUAUUUUUUAAAAAAAUGAGUGGUUGAAAAGGAAGAAAAGGUUUUCGAUUUAUGUGUAAUAUUAUUUUAUGAAAGAUUGUGUGGUUGAAAAUAGGAGAGAGAAAAAUAAAAUGUAAUGUAAUUUAAUUUAAUGAGGAUGAAACAGGACUUUCUGUUUGAGACUUUUGUGUGUGUCAAUUUCUGACAAAACUGUUUACCUAGAUCAAUAAGUAGAUGUAGAACCUGCAAUUACGGUAGUUUCUAGUCGU